AAAGAAACUAACUAGGAUUCCCUUAGUAACGGCGAGUGAACCGGGAUGAGCUCAAAUUUAAAAUCUGGCGUCUUUCAGGCGUCCGAGUUGUAAUCUAUAGAGGCGUUUUCCGCGCCGGACCGCGUCCAAGUCCCUUGGAAUAGGGUAUCAAAGAGGGUGACAAUCCCGUACUUGACGCGACGACCGGUGCUCUGUGAUACGUUCUCAACGAGUCGAGUUGUUUGGGAAUGCAGCUCUAAAUGGGUGGUAAAUUCCAUCUAAGGCUAAAUAUUGGCGAGAGACCGAUAGCGAACAAGUACCGUGAGGGAAAGAUGAAAAGCACUUUGGAAAGAGAGUUAAACAGCACGUGAAAUUGUUAAAAGGGAAACGAUUGAAGUCAGUCGUGUGGGAGGUAUUCAGCCGUCUCUGGCGGUGUAUUUGCCUCUCACGGGUCAACAUCAGUUUGAUCCGGUAGAAAAAGGCGGGAGGAAGGUGGCACCCUCGGGUGUGUUAUAGCCUCCUGUCACAUGUGCCGGACCAGA
rnacentral:rRNA from 1 species